rnacentral:rRNA from 1 species
GUGUCAGCAGCCGCGGUAAUACGGAGGAGGCAAGCGUUGUUCGGAAUUACUGGGCUUAAAGCGCGUGUAGGCGGGCGGGCAAGUGUCUUGUGAAAUCCCUCGGCUCAACCGGGGAACUGCAGGGCAAACUGCUCGUCUUGAGGCAGGUAGGGGUGCAUGGAACUCUAGGUGGAGCGGUGAAAUGCGUAGAUAUCUAGAGGAACGCCGGUGGCGAAAGCGGUGCACUGGGCCUGAUCUGACGCUGAGACGCGAAAGCGUAGGGAGCGAACGGGAUUAGAUACCCCGGUAGUCUACGCCGUAAACGAUGCGCACUAGGCUCGAGGAACUCUGACGUUCUUCGGGCCGAAAGAAAACCGUUAAGUGCGCCGCCUGGGGAGUACGGCCGCAAGGCUAAAACUCAAAGGAAUUGACGGGGGCUCACACAAGCGGUGGAGCAUGUGGAUUAAUUCGAAGCAACGCGAAGAACCUUACCUGGGUUUGACAUGCACGGAUGCUCUCUUGGAAACAGGAGCAGGCUGCCUUCGGGUGAAACGUGCACAGGUGCUGCAUGGCUGUCGUCAGCUCGUGCUGUGAAGUGUUGGGUUAAGUCCCCUAACGAGCGAAACCCUUAUCGUUAGUUACCAGCGGGUCAUGCCGGGAACUCUAGCGAGACUGCCGGUGCUAAACCGGAGGAAGGUGGGGAUGACGUCAAGUCCUCAUGGCCUUUAUGCCCAGGGUGUCACACGUGCUACAAUGGGGCGUACAGAGCGACGCAAGACCGCGAGGUGGAGCAAAUCGCAGAAAACGCCCCCCAGUUCGGAUUGGAGUCUGCAAUUCGACUCCAUGAAGUUGGAAUCGCUAGUAAUCGCGUAUCAGCCAUGACGCGGUGAAUAUGUUCCUGAGCCUUGCACACACCGCCCGUC